UUGAAUUUAGUCCACAAAUUAUGUAUGCUGCUACAGUACAUGCCAGUUCCAGAACUUGUUGUGCAGGAUCCAUUGGCUUUUUGUCCCGGCCCAUUAAAUUUGACAUUAUUGACUGUCUGGGUGUGGACCCAUCUAUAAAAAUUCAAGAAUUCAAGCAACGGUCAUAUGAGGUUACGACCUGGUUCCAGGUGGGAGGCAGUGGCCAAUUUUAGAAGACCAAAGCAAACCGAGGGAUGAAUUAAGGCUAAGGAUUUGGCUAAUUUCUCCCCGCCUUAUUGGAGACAGAAAUCAAAACAAAUUUGGCAUAUAAUCUGAGCCCCUGCUUCAUUUUCCUUUGGUCCAGGUAAUUACUGAAUGUGCCAUGGUGCUCUCAUUACUAGGCAACCAAUUCCAAGUCCCCCCUGCCUUGAACAUUCCAGCCAAAUUGCACCUCCCACGUGAGCAGGCAAUCAGCCGCCCAGGGCCAACCUCUCAUGUUUGUAAUAAUAUUCUAAUAACCAGUUACUGGCCGUUUGGAGAGUGCCCUACUCCUACAAGUCACCAUAAUUAGGAAUCCUAAUGAGAGGAAAGCUGGACCACCACGCCAUACCCCCCUUCGCUUGGCGGGAAAGGGCCACAACUCACUGCCCACAGUAUCUGCUCGUCUGAACCUCUCAAUUUGUUUGUGAGUGCUCAUAGAGCGGUCACGUCUCGUCUUCUGUCUCGGCUGAUUUCUGUCAGUUGUGCCCCUGAGGUUACUGGAAUGGGAGCAGCAUUGUGAGAAUUCCAUUGUGUUUGGUUGACAUUGGCUCAUUGAGCUUCACAUUGAUAGCCCACCCCACAUGUGAAUACCUGUAUGAAAUUAUAUGAUUAUGUGGGAGAAAGGAAUGGAAAAGGUGCACUAAAACUAUUCUUGAUAGCUAAGAUUUUAUUAUUUUUUUCCCCAUCACUUGAUAGAUUAAAAAAGCAGAUCAGUUCAUGUAUUGAAAAGUAGCUCUGGCAUGUUUGUAUAUUUGCUGUGGUUGUCUUCCCGAAAGGAUCCCAAAUGCUUUCUAUUUCUAGGAAUGUUUUGACCAUUAUAGCAGCCCAUUGUGUGAAAAGUACUUUCUCUUCAACAUAUCACUCGCUCGGAUUGUUUUUGCUACUCGAAGAAUUAGAUUUUGUAUUUUUUUUUUGGCCUUCUCUGUGGUGAUGUUGAUUUAGCACUGAAUUUUCUUCUCUGCUGGUUA
rnacentral:lncRNA from 1 species